GAGGGUAUAGCUCAAGUGGUAGAGCACAUGCUUAGCAUGCAUUAGGUCCUGGGUUCAAUCCCCAGUACCUCUU
rnacentral:tRNA from 1 species